GAGUCCUCCAACCCCUGUGACAUACCACUUGUUGCCUCGGCGGAUCAGCCCGCUCCCGGUAAAACGGGACGGCCCGCCAGAGGACCCCUAAACUCUGUUUCUAUAUGUAACUUCUGAGUAAAACCAUAAAUAAAUCAAAACUUUCAACAACGGAUCUCUUGGUUCUGGCAUCGAUGAAGAACGCAGCAAAAUGCGAUAAGUAAUGUGAAUUGCAGAAUUCAGUGAAUCAUCGAAUCUUUGAACGCACAUUGCGCCCGCCAGUAUUCUGGCGGGCAUGCCUGUUCGAGCGUCAUUUCAACCCUCAAGCACAGCUUGGUGUUGGGACUCGCGUUAAUUCGCGUUCCCCAAAUUGAUUGGCGGUCACGUCGAGCUUCCAUAGCGUAGUAGUAAAACCCUCGUUACUGGUAAUCGUCGCGGCCACGCCGUUAAACCCCAACUUCUGAAUGUUGACCUCGGAUCAGGUAGGAAUACCCGCUGAACUUAAGCAUAUCAAUAAGCGGAGGAA
rnacentral:rRNA from 1 species